rnacentral:rRNA from 1 species
AACGAACGCUGGCGGCAGGCUUAACACAUGCAAGUCGAGCGCAUCCUUCGGGGUGAGCGGCGGACGGGUGAGUAACGCGUGGGAACGUGCCCUCUUCUACGGAAUAGCCUCGGGAAACUGAGAGUAAUGCCGUAUACGCCCGCAAGGGGAAAGAUUUAUCGGAGGAGGAUCGGCCCGCGUUGGAUUAGGUAGUUGGUGGGGUAACGGCCUACCAAGCCGACGAUCCAUAGCUGGUUUGAGAGGAUGAUCAGCCACACUGGGACUGAGACACGGCCCAGACUCCUACGGGAGGCAGCAGUGGGGAAUCUUGGACAAUGGGGGCAACCCUGAUCCAGCCAUGCCGCGUGAUCGAUGAAGGCCUUAGGGUUGUAAAGAUCUUUCAGCUGGGAGGAUAAUGACGGUACCAGCAGAAGAAGCCCCGGCUAACUCCGUG